rnacentral:rRNA from 1 species
UACGUAGGGCGCAAGCGUUGUCCGGAAUUAUUGGGCGUAAAGAGCUCGUAGGUGGCCUGUCGCGUCGGCUGUGAAAACUCGGGGCUCAACUCCGAGCUUGCAGUCGAUACGGGCAGGCUAGAGUUCGGCAGGGGAGACUGGAAUUCCUGGUGUAGCGGUGAAAUGCGCAGAUAUCAGGAGGAACACCGAUGGCGAAGGCAGGUCUCUGGGCCACUACUGACGCUGAGAAGCGAAAGCAUGGGGAGCGAACAGG